rnacentral:rRNA from 1 species
GACGAACGCUGGCGGCGUGCUUAACACAUGCAAGUCGAACGGUAAGGCCCUUCGGGGUACACGAGUGGCGAACGGGUGAGUAACACGUGGGAGAUCUGCCCUGCACUUUGGGAUAAGCCUGGGAAACUGGGUCUAAUACCGGAUAGGACCAUGGACUUCACGGUUUGUGGUGGAAAGCUUUUGCGGUGUGGGAUGGGCCCGCGGCCUAUUAGCUUGUUGGUGGGGUAAUGGCCUACCAAGGCGACGACGGGUAGCCGGACUGAGAGGGUGUCCGGCCACACUGGGACUGAGAUACGGCCGAGACUCCUACGGGAGGCAGCAGUGGGGAAUAUUGCACAAUGGGCGCAAGCCUGAUGCAGCGACGCCGCGUGGGGGAUGACGGCCUUCGGGUUGUAAACCUCUUUCAGCACAGACGAAGCGCAAGUGACGGUAUGUGCAGAAGAAGGACCGGCCAACUACGUGCCAGCAGCCGCAGUAAUAC